rnacentral:rRNA from 1 species
AGCAGCCGCGGUAAUUCCAGCUCCAAUAGCGUAUAUUAAAGUUGUUGCAGUUAAAAAGCUCGUAGUUGAAUUUCGGGAUCAAUAUGUCGGUCGUGCUUCGGUACGUACUGGCGUUAUUGGUUUCUCCCUUCUGACGAACCAUGAUGUCAUUAAUUUGAUGUCUUGGGGAAUCAGGACUGUUACUUUGAAAAAUUAGAGUGUUUAAAGCAGGCUCACGCUUGAAUACAUUAGCAUGGAAUAAUGAAAUAGGACGUUUAAUUCUAUUUUGUUGGUUUCUAGGAUUGACGUAAUGAUUAAUAGGGAUAGUUGGGGGCAUUAGUAUUCAAUUGUCAGAGGUGAAAUUCUUGGAUUUAUUGAAGACUAACUACUGCGAAAGCAUUUGCCAAGGAUGUUUUCAUUAAUACAAGAACGAAAGUUAGGGGAUCGAAGACGAUCAGAUACCGUCGUAGUCUUAACCAUAAACUAUAG